GGUUGUAAACCGCUUUCGCCUGUGACGAAGCGUGAGUGACGGUAAUGGGUAAAGAAGCACCGGCUAACUACGUGCCAGCAGCCGCGGUGAUACGUAGGGUGCGAGCGUUGUCCGGAUUUAUUGGGCGUAAAGGGCUCGUAGGUGGUUGAUCGCGUCGGAAGUGUAAUCUUGGGGCUUAACCCUGAGCGUGCUUUCGAUACGGGUUGACUUGAGGAAGGUAGGGGAGAAUGGAAUUCCUGGUGGAGCGGUGGAAUGCGCAGAUAUCAGGAGGAACACCAGUGGCGAAGGCGGUUCUCUGGGCCUUUCCUGACGCUGAGGAGCGAAAGCGUGGGGAGCGAACAGGCUUAGAUACCCUGGUAGUCCACGCUGUAAACGGUGGGUACUAGGUGUGGGGUCCAUUCCACGGGUUCCGUGCCGUAGCUAACGCUUUAAGUACCCCGCCUGGGGAGUACGGCCGCAAGGCUAAAACUCAAAGG
rnacentral:rRNA from 1 species